rnacentral:rRNA from 1 species
AUGAAAAGAAAUACGGGUUCGUGGUGGAUACCUAGGCAUCUAGAGACGAGGAAGGGCGUGGUUACCGACGAAAUGCUUCGGGGAGUUGGAAAGAGGCUGAGAUCCGGAGAUACCCGAAUGGGGGGACCCCCUGUACUUGCUUUUUAGCAAGAGACAACCUGGCGAACUGAAACAUCUUAGUAGCCAGAGGAAAAGAAAGCAAACGCGAUUCCCUUAGUAGCGGCGAGCGAAGCGGGAAUAGCCUAAACCGGCUUGACCGGGGUUGUGGGAGAACUCAAUACAACCUCCUGCUAAGCGAAACAGUUGAAUGCUGUACCUUAGAUGGUGAGAGUCCAGUAGCUGAAAGCAGGCCAAUCAGGUUGCUUAGUUCUAACCCGAGUAGCAUGGGGCACGUGAAAUCCCGUGUGAAUCCGCAAGGACCACCUUGCAAGGCUAAAUACUCCUAGAUGACCGAUAGUGAAGUAGUACCGUGAGGGAAAGGUGAAAAGAACCCCUGACGGGGAGUGAAAAAGACCAUGAAACCACGAAUUUUCAAGCAGUGGGAGAGGCUAUGGAAAGCCCGACCGCGUGCCUGUUGAAGAAUGAGCCGGCGACUUAUAGGCAGUGGCUUGGUUAAGGUGUUUUCACCGGAGCCAGAGAGAAAUCAAGCCUAAAAAGGGCCAGUGUCACUGUUUAUGGACCCGAAUCCGAGUGAUCUAACCAUGACCAGGGUGAAGCUUUCCAACCAAACUAGUGGAGGCCCGAACCGACCGAUGUUGAAAAAUCGGCGGAUGAGUUGUGGUUAGGGGUGAAAUGCCAAUCGAACUCGGAGCUAGCUGGUUCUCCCCGAAAUGCGUUGAGGCGCAGCGGUGGGUUUAGGGCUAUCUAGGGGUAAAGCACUGUUUCGGUGCGGGCUGCGAGAGCGGUACCAAAUCGAGACAAACUCUGAAUACUAGGUAUAGCUACCAACUGACCAGUGAGACGGUGAGGGAUAAGCUUCAUUGUCGAAAGGGAAACAGCCCAGGACCACCGGCUAAGGCCCCUCAAUGAUUCCUAAGUGACGAAGGAUGUGAGAGUGCAGAGACAACCAGAAGGUUUGCCUAGAAGCAGCCACCCUUGAAAGAGUGCGUAAUAGCUCACUGAUCAAGCGCUCUGGCGCCGAAAAUGAAAGGGACUCAAGGAAUCUGCCGAAGCCGUGGCAUGUAAAUUACAUGGGUAGGGGAGCGUUCUGUUUUAGUUAGAAGCGUAAGCGAAAGCAUGUGUGGACAAAACAGAAGUGAGAAUGUCGGCUUGAGUAACGCAAACGUGGGUGAGAAUCCCAUGCCCCGAAAACCUAAGGGUUCCUUCGGAAGGCUCGUCCACGAAGGGUGAGUCAGGGCCUAAGAUGAUGCCGAAAGGCGUAGUCGAUGGACAACAGGUCAAAAUUCCUGUACCUUCUCGGAUUGAGAACGAGUGACGAAGAAGGCUCGAUCCGCUGGGAGCUGGUUUCUCAGUUCAAGAGUAUAAAAACUCUAGUAUAAGUAAGGCUACGGCCUACGGAAGGAUUUAUGCCAUACUUCCAGGAAAAGCUUGUUUCUCGAAAAGAUCCGAGAAGCCUGUACCUAAAACCGACACAGGUAGGUAGGUAGAGAAUACCUAGGGGCGCGAGACAACUCUCUCCAAGGAACUCGGCAAAAUGGCCCCGUAACUUCGGGAGAAGGGGUGCUCUUUAGGGAGCCGCAGUGACCAGGCCCAAGCGACUGUUUACCAAAAACACAGGUCUCCGCUAAGUCGUAAGACGAUGUAUGGGGGCUGACGCCUGCCCAGUGCUGGAAGGUUAAGGAAGUUGGUUACUUGCUAUGUGCAGGGAAGCUGGCAACCGAAGCCCCAGUUAACGGCGGCCGUAACUAUAACGGUCCUAAGGUAGCGAAAUUCCUUGUCGGGUAAGUUCCGACCCGCACGAAAGGCGUAACGAUUUGGGCACUGUCUCGGAGAGAGGCUCGGUGAAAUAGACUUGUCUGUGAAGAUGCGGACUACCUCCACCUGGACAGAAAGACCCUAUGAAGCUUGACUGUUCCCUGGGAUGGGGUUUGGGCUCUUUCUGCGCAGCUUAGGUGGGAGACAUAGAAUCUCUCUUUCCGGAGAGAGAAGAGUCAACAGUGAGAUACCACCCUGAAAGAGCUAGAAUCCUAACCAACCUAAUCAAGGCUGAGACAGUCUCAGGUAGACAGUUUCACUGGGGCAGUGGCCUCCCAAAAGGUAAUGGAGGCGUGCAAAGGUUCCCUCAGGCUGGACGGAAAUCAGUUGAGGAGUGCAAAAGCAGAAGGGAGCUUGACUGCGAGACUUACAAGUCAAGCAGGGACGAAAGUCGGCUUUAGUGAUCCGACGGUUCCAUGUGGAAGGGCCGUCGCUCAACGGAUAAAAGUUACUCUAGGGAUAACAGGCUGAUCUUCCCCAAGAGUUCACAUCGACGGGAAGGUUUGGCACCUCGAUGUCGGCUUAUCGCAUCCAGGGGCGGUAGUACGUCCCAAGGGUUGGGCUGUUCGCCCAUUAAAGCGGUACAUGAGCUGGGUUCAGAACGUCGUGAGACAGUUUGGUCCAUAUCCGGUGGAGGCGAUAGAGCAUUGAGAGGAUCUUUCCCUAGUACGAGAGGACCGGGAAGGACGCACCACUAGUGUACCAGUUCUCAGGCCAAUGGGAAACGCUGGGUAGCCAAGUGCGGAGCGGAUCACUGCUGAAAGCAUCUAAGUAGGAAGCCCACCUCAAGAUGAGUGCUCUUGAUUUAAGGUCACGACCAGACUAGUCGUUAUUAUGAUAGGUGUUAUGUGGAAGUGCAGUGAUGUAUGCAGCAAAAGCACACUAAUAGACCGAAUACUUUCCAU